rnacentral:rRNA from 1 species
AGGAGACGCUGGCGGCGUGGAUUAGGCAUGCAAGUCGAACGGUAGGAUACCUUCGGGUAUCUGAGAGUGGCGAACGGGGUGAGUAACACGUAGGUGAUCUACCCUCAAGAUUGGGACAACCCAGGGAAACUUGGGCUAAUACCGGAUGAAAGCAGCAGUGAUGUUGUUUGAAAGGUGGCGUAAGCUGCCGUUUGGGGAUGAGCCUGCGCUCUAUUAGUUAGUUGGCGGGGUAAAGGCCCACCAAGGCGAUGAUAGAUAGGCGGCCUUAACGGGUGGUCGCCCACACUGGGAUUGAGAUACGGCCCAGACUCCUACGGGAGGCAGCAGUCGAGAAUAGUCUACAAUGGCCGAAAGGCUGAUAGUGCGACGCCGCGUGAACGAAGAAGCCCUUCGGGGUGUAAAGUUCUUUUAUAUGUGAGCAGUGCUUUCUAUGUGAACAGCAUGGGGAGAGAGAUAUUAGCAUAUGAAUAAGCAACGGCUAACUCCGUG